rnacentral:rRNA from 1 species
UACGUAGGGAGCAAGCGUUAUCCGGAUUUACUGGGUGUAAAGGGCGCGUAGGCGGGAAUGCAAGUCAGAUGUGAAAUCUGAGGGCUCAACCCUCAAACUGCAUUUGAAACUGUAUUUCUUGAGUGAUGGAGAGGCAAGUGGAAUUCCUAGUGUAGCGGUGAAAUGCGUAGAUAUUAGGAGGAACACCAGUGGCGAAGGCGACUUGCUGGACAUUAACUGACGCUGAGGCGCGAAAGCGUGGGGAGCAAACAGG